UGGGAACCUUCCCUAUGGUUCGGAAUAGCUCAGGGAAACUUGGGGUAAUACCGGAUAUGCCCUUCGGGGAAGAUUUAUCGCCAUUGGAUGGGCCCGCGUCGGAUUAGCUAGUUGGUGAGGUAACGGCUCACCAAGGCAACGAUCCGUAGCUGGUCUGAGAGGAUGAUCAGCCACACUGGGACUGAGACACGGCCCAGACUCCUACGGGAGGCAG
rnacentral:rRNA from 1 species